GACGAACGCUGGCGGCGUGCUUAACACAUGCAAGUCGAACGGAAAGGCCCUGCUUUUGUGGGGUGCUCGAGUGGCGAACGGGUGAGUAACACGUGAGUAACCUGCCCUUGACUUUGGGAUAACUUCAGGAAACUGGGGCUAAUACCGGAUAGGAGCUCCUGCUGCAUGGUGGGGGUUGGAAAGUUUCGGCGGUUGGGGAUGGACUCGCGGCUUAUCAGCUUGUUGGUGGGGUAGUGGCUUACCAAGGCUUUGACGGGUAGCCGGCCUGAGAGGGUGACCGGGCAAAUUGGGACUGAGGUACGGGCCAGACUCCUACGGGAGGCAGCAGUGGGGAAUAUUGCACAAUGGGCGGAAGCCUGAUGCAGCAACGCCGCGUGCGGGAUGACGGCCUUCGGGUUGUAAACCGCUUUCGCCUGUGACGAAGCGUGAGUGACGGUAAUGGGUAAAGAAGCACCGGCUAACUACGUG
rnacentral:rRNA from 1 species